UACGUAGGGGGCAAGCGUUGUCCGGAAUCAUUGGGCGUAAAGAGCGCGUAGGCGGUUUGGUAAGUCCGCUGUGAAAGUCCAGGGCUCAACCCUGGAAAGCCAGUGGAAACUGCCAAGCUAGAGUCCGGUAGAGGCGAGUGGAACUCCUGGUGUAGCGGUGAAAUGCGCAGAUAUCAGGAAGAACACCGAUGGCGAAGGCAGCUCGCUGGGACGAGACUGACGCUGAGACGCGAAAGCGUGGGGAGCAAACAGG
rnacentral:rRNA from 1 species